CCCUUAGAUGUCCGGGGCCGCACGCGCGCUACACUGAAGGAAUCAGCGUGGCUUUCUCCCUGACCCGAAAGGGUUGGGAAACCCGUUGAAUCUCCUUCGUGAUAGGGAUUGGGGCUUGAAAUUGUUCCCCAUGAACGAGGAAUUCCCAGUAAGCGCGAGUCAUAAGCUCGCGUUGAUUACGUCCCUGCCCUUUGUACACACCGCCCGUCGCUACUACCGAUUGAACGGUUUAGUGAGGGCCUCGGAUUGGUCUCGGCCCGCUCUUUACCGGGCGGCGCCGUUGGUCGAGAAGACGCUCGAACUUGAUCGUUUAGAGGAAGUAAAAGUCGUAACAA
rnacentral:rRNA from 1 species